rnacentral:rRNA from 1 species
UACGGAGGGGACUAGCGUUGUUCGGAAUUACUGGGCGUAAAGCGCACGUAGGCGGAUUUGUAAGUCAGGGGUGAAAUCCCGGGGCUCAACCUCGGAACUGCCUUUGAUACUGCAAAUCUCGAGUCCGGAAGAGGUGAGUGGAAUUCCUAGUGUAGAGGUGAAAUUCGUAGAUAUUAGGAAGAACACCAGUGGCGAAGGCAGCUCUCUGGGACGGUACUGACGCUGAGACGCGAAAGCGUGGGGAGCGAACAGG